GCAAAUUGCCCCGAACAUCAAGUGAGCGGACCAAAGAAUAAAAGUGCGGCGUGGAAUGCCAUGAUCAAUCCACUGUUGGACUUGACAAUAUUUGGAGCAAUCUUGUACCAAGGUGAGGGCGACGUACCAAAGAUAUAUCAAUGCCAGUUCCCAGCUAUGAUUCAAGACUGGAGACAGAAAUUUGGAGC